UAGCCGCCGCAUACACCCGUCCCCGAGAGCGUGGCUUGCCGGCUGGCGUUCUGCACGUGCCGGCCUUUGGCUCCCUGAUGCUUCCUGGGCUCUCGGCCUUCUGUGGACGCUGCACGCCUCCCUCGUAAACUUGCUGAACAAAAUAUAAGUCUUUUGUCCACUCACUUCAGUAGUUUGAAGGUGACGUUCUGUGGUGUCAUGUCAGUGUUUAAAAACUGACUGUGGUCACUGCUGCUGACUCUCCCCCGGGGGCCCCGCCUCCCAGGCCCGGGAGUCUAGUGAGCGGGCGUAGCCGGUGCCUGGCAGACCGCGAGGACGGUGUGGGAGGGACUCCGGAGGCUCCAGGCUGGAGGGCCAAGGAAGCGUUGUGAUCUUGGGGGUGAAGCCAAAGACAGUCAUACACAUCAAUAUCUCACACAUUUAGAUUUUAACAUAGACGCGGUCAUUCCCUCCUUUUUCUGAGGCGGAACGUUAAAGUGGUUUUACUGCCGACGUGUGCGCAUAUAUCCAUAUGCAGCUGCAGGGUUGCUUUUGAUACUUAAAAGCUGGUGCCCUCGGGUUCCAGUUUGCCUGUGAGCUCUUGGUCCAGUGGACACCUGCUGCCUCCCUGUCCUCCUUACACCCUGACCAGGGUCUGGGUGAUGCUCCCCUUUCCCUUCAGUGCUGACCCUCUUUGGUUCUGUCAACUCAACUAACUGUGACAAGUGUUUUUGCUCAAGUGUCUCUGAGCAGGGAGGUCGGCGUCACUGCAAUCCUUGGGUCUCCAGCAGACUCCUUCCAGAAAGUAGUCCACUGUAGCAAGCUUUGAUGCACGGAAGUGGGAGGAAGGGACAGAGCUGUCACAGAUGAGCCUUGAACCCUUUCUUUGCCUUAGGGGCACAAGAGGAAAAACUGGAAGGUGCGGCGCUUUGUUCUGAGGAAGGAUCCGGCUUUCCUGCAUUACUAUGACCCUUCCAAAGAGGAGAACCGGCCAGUGGGUGGGUUUUCUCUUCGUGGCUCACUCGUGUCUGCUCUGGAGGAUAACGGCGUUCCCACUGGGGUUAAAGGGAAUGUCCAGGGGAAUCUCUUCAAAGUGAUUACCAAGGAUGACACACACUAUUAUAUCCAGGCCAGCAGCAAGGCUGAGCGAACGGAGUGGAUUGAAGCUAUCAAAAAGCUAACGUGACAAGGAAAUGUGUUCCCAAAGGAACAAGACAGGAUUCCUCCCUCCUACCAGAUGGUACAGACAGGAUUUCCUGCAGAAUGAGAGUGUGUUAAGACUUUUAGCUUCUUUGGAUAUUUUGUACAGCUUUGCAGUGAGACUGGAGUUCCUUCGCUCACAAUCGGCAGUGGUGCUAUUUCCUUCCCCACCUUCCUGUUAACAGCCUGGAAAUGCUAGGACCGCCGUUAGGCAUCAGCAUCUUGACUUUCACCCAUCCUUACAGCUAGCCAUUCCUCCAGCACCAAAGUAGGUUUCCCUGUUGUAACACUAACUAGCCAUAUUGUAAUACUAAAUAAAACACUAGUCUCAUGUUGGCUUUCUCUGAAAUGCUGUCAAAAACUAACUCCUUCUCUGGAAUUAAUAAAAACUGACACAUUUCUAGCUAUUA